rnacentral:rRNA from 1 species
UUAUCAAAAACAUGUCUUUUUGAAUUUUAUUUAAAGUCUAACCUGCCCAUUGAAUUUUUUAAAAGGCUGCGGUAUUUUGACCGUACAAAGGUAGCAUAAUCAUUAGUUUUUUAAUUGAAAACUUGUAUGAAUGGUUUAACGAAAUAUUUUCUGUUUCAUAAAAAUUUAUAUAGAAAUUAAUUUUUUAGUAAAAAAGCUAAAAUAUAAUUAAAAGACGAGAAGACCCUAUAGAGUUUUAUAUAAAAUAUUUUAUAAUUUAUUUAUAAAUUUUAAAAUUUUAUUUUAUUUUAUAUUUUGUUGGGGUGACAAUAAAAUUUUAUAAUCUUUUAUUAUUUAAUAACAAUUAUUUUUGAUUAAUUGAUCCAUUUUUUAUGAUUAAAAGAUUAAAUUACCUUAGGGAUAACAGCGUAAUUUUUUUGUAGAGUUCUUAUCGAUAAAAAAUUUUGCGACCUCGAUGUUGGAUUAAGAAUAAUUUUAGGUGUAGAAGCUUAUUUAAUUGGGUCUGUUCGACCUUUAAAUUCUUACGUGAUCUGAGUUCA